rnacentral:rRNA from 1 species
ACGAACGCUGGCGGCGUGCUUCAUGCAUGCAAGUCGUACGCGGGCGACUCGCCGGGCAACCGGUGGGUCGGGCCGAGUGGCGAACGGGUGAGUAACACGUGGGUAACCUGCCCGGUUGCCCGGGAUACCGUCUCGAAAGAGGCGUUAAUACCGGAUGUUGUCCCCUGACCGCAGGGAUGGGGGAUGAAAGCUGGCCUGCAAGGGCUGGCGUGACUGGAGGGGCCCGCGGCCCAUUAGCUAGUUGGUGAGGUAACGGCCCACCAAGGCGACGAUGGGUAGCCGGCCUGAGAGGGUGGUCGGCCACACUGGGACUGAGACACGGCCCAGACUCCUACGGGAGGCAGCAGCAGGGAGUUUUGCGCAAUGGGCGACAGCCUGACGCAGCAACGCCGCGUGGGUGAGGAAGGCCUUCGGGUUGUAAAGCCCUGUCGGAGGGGACGAGGCUUGGCCGGGUAAAUAGCCCGGGCAGGUGACGGUACCUUCGGAGGAAGCCCCGGCUAACUACGUGCCAGCAGCCGCGGUGAGACGUAGGGGGCGAGCGUUGUCCGGAAUGACUGGGCGUAAAGGGCGAGUAGGCGGUUCGGUAAGUGGUGGGUGAAAUCCCCGGGCUCAACCCGGGUGGUGCCUGCCAAACUGCCGGACUUGAGGGCAGGAGAGGAGAGCGGAAUUCCCGGUGUAGCGGUAAAAUGCGUAGAUAUCGGGAGGAACACCAGUGGCGAAGGCGGCUCUCUGGCCUGUCCCUGACGCUGAGGCGCGAAAGCUAGGGGAGCAAACGGGAUUAGAUACCCCGGUAGUCCUAGCUGUAAACGAUGGGCACUAGGUGUGGGAGGUAUCGACCCCUUCCGUGCCGCAGUAACACAAUAAGCACUCCCGCC